ensembl:lncRNA
CCAGAGGACCUUAGGUCCUCAAGUCCCUGAGCGGUGGCAGCGGCGACUGUGGGUGCAUCGUUUCCGCGCCCAGAUUUUAUUGAUCUGAUCCAACCUGUCUUGUGACUGCUAGCUGGAAUUAAGAAGAAAAAAUAAACACCAAUAUCUUGACACAUGGGAGCCAAAUGUUCCAACUGACAUUCAUGCUGUCUGGAUUUGUUUUAUUUUGGAAUGAAUAUUACCAAGCUUGUUUGCAGUUAAAGGCGGAUUCUGUACCAUCUGAGCCACGAGGGAAGCCCAGGUGGCUGCUUCAGCUCCCACUGUCUCAUCACACAUACAUCCCACAGAGCAGGAAGAAGAAAGAUCAGGAGAAGGGAUCCUGUCCGUGGCCUAGGCAUACAUCUUCUACUCAGUCCUACUGACUAGAACUUAGUUAUUUGGUGAUACUAUGCUAUCAAGGUGAAAUGGACCUCUGUUCAAAAUAAACAUGUGCCCAACUAGCA